rnacentral:rRNA from 1 species
UACGGGUGAGUAACGCGUGGGACCUACCCUUUCCUGCGGAAUAUCUCCCGGAAACUGGAAUUAAUACCGCAUAAGCCCUACGGGGGAAAGAUUUAUCGGGGAAGGAUUGGCCCGCGUUGGAUUAGCUAGUUGGUGGGGUAAAGGCCUACCAAGGCGACGAUCCAUAGCUGGUCUGAGAGGAUGAUCAGCCACAUUGGGACUGAGACACGGCCCAAACUCCUACGGGAGGCAGCAGUGGGGAAUAUUGGACAAUGGGCGCAAGCCUGAUCCAGCCAUGCCGCGUGAGUGAUGAAGGCCCUAAGGUUGUAAAGCUCUUUCACCGGAGAAGAUAAUGACGGUAUCCGGAGAAUAAGCCCCGGCUAACUUCGUGCCAGCAGCCGCGGUAAUACCAAGGGGGCUAGCGUUGUUCGGAAUUACUGGGCGUAAAGCGCACGUAGGCGGAUAUUUAAGUCGGGGGUGAAAUCCCAGAGCUCAACUCUGGAACUGCCUUUGAUACUGGGUAUCUUGAGUAUGGAAGAGGUGAGUGGAAUUCCGAGUGUAAAGGUGAAAUUCGUAUAUAUUCGGAGGAACACCAGUGGCGAAGGCGGCUUACUGGUCCAUUACUGACGCUGAUGUGC